GUGGGCCGCGCCAGCCAAUAGGCGCACGCCUCGGUGUCGAACCCGGCCUGCGGGGCGCGGGUCGAGCAGUUGGUGGCGGCGGAGCGAGCGCGCUCGGGACCGAGGACCGGCCAUGGAGCGCGAAGUCCAGCGAUUGCGCGCCGCGUUCCAGACGGGCCGAUCGCGCCCUCUGGCCUUCCGGCUGCAGCAGCUCCAGGCCCUGCGCAGGAUGGUGCAGGAGCGCGAGGAGGACCUGCUGGCGGCCAUCGCCGCGGAUCUGAGCAAGAGCAAACUCAAUGCCUACAGUCAAGAAGUCCUUACGAUUCUUGGGGAAAUUGAUCUGGCGCUGGAGAAGCUUCCCGAAUGGGCUGCAGCUCGGCCAGCGGAGAAGAACCUGCUAACCAUGCUUGACGAGGCGUAUGUCCAGCCAGAGCCCCUGGGUGUCAUGCUGAUCAUUGGCGCGUGGAACUACCCCUUGGUUCUCUCCAUCCAGCCUCUGAUAGGAGCCAUCGCUGCAGGAAACGCGGUGAUUAUCAAACCUUCCGAAAUCAGCGAAAAUACAGCCAAGAUCUUGGCGAAGCUCCUCCCCCAGUAUUUAGACCAGGACCUGUACGCUGUCAUCAAUGGCGGCGUUGAGGAAACCACGAAGCUGCUGGAGCAGCGAUUUGACCACAUUCUCUACACGGGAAGCACCGCGGUGGGGAAGAUUGUCAUGGAAGCCGCUGCCAAGCAUUUGACCCCUGUGACCCUUGAACUGGGGGGGAAGAGCCCGUGUUACAUUGACCCAGACUGUGACCUGGACGUCGCCUGCAGACGCAUCGCCUGGGGGAAGUACAUGAACUGCGGGCAGACCUGCAUCGCCCCCGACUACGUCCUCUGCGAGCCGUCCCUCCAGGACCAGGUCGUGCAGAAGAUGAAGGAAGCCGUGAAGGAAUUUUAUGGAGAUAAUAUAAAAGACUCUCCGGACUAUGAAAGGAUCGUCAAUCUCCGUCAUUUCAAGAGGAUACAGAGUCUGCUCGAGGGACAGAAGAUAGCCUUCGGUGGGGAGACGGACGAGGCCACUCGCUACAUAGCCCCAACAAUACUUACCGAUGUUGAUCCUGAAGCCAAGGUGAUGCGAGAAGAGAUUUUUGGACCCAUUCUUCCAAUAGUGCCUGUGAAGAAUGCAGACGAAGCCGUAAAAUUCAUAAACGAACGUGAAAAGCCCCUGGCUUUCUACGUAUUUUCUCGUAACAAUAAGCUCAUCAAGCGGAUGAUCGAGGCGACGUCGAGCGGGGGUGUCACGGGCAACGACGUCAUCAUGCACUUCAUGCUCAGCUCCCUGCCCUUCGGAGGCGUGGUGCAAAAGGAAGACAGCCUUUUCAAGAAAACCUGGGGAAGAAGAGCCCAGAGAGGAAAUGUAGGCUCCCCGAGACCCGACUGUUGGAAGCUAACGUCCGGCGCACGUGCCAAAGUCCACUCCCUGCGGGUGUCUGCGAGGCAGGACCCGGGGCCACUUAGGAGGAAGAAGUCCUGACUUCCAGGCACAAACACGGGCGGUGUCGUGAAAUACAGCUGAGCUUUUUCUCUAGAACACACACCUUGGGACACCUGUCGGCAGCUUCAGCUGCCCCCUUAAUGCUGCCCCACAGCCUGGCCCCAGUAAACCGCGCCCUGGCCCCGUCACCUGGGCCACAUGCCUGAGUGGAGAGCGCAGCUGUGUGAGGGGUAGAGGUGGCCGCGUCGCCCUGCCGUCCUGGCCUUGGUUACUUUCCAGGAGCCCUGGGGCCAUGGCCAGGGGGGCAGGGACAGUGUGACCGUGGGGAUAGGCGCCCGCAGCCCUCGGACUCGGCACGUCUGGGGUCACGCUUGGGCUUUGCACUUUUCACCUUGGGCAGGUUACCUGCUUGGCAGCAGGGGUGCUGGUGACAACGAGCACUGUCCCCAGCACCAGUGACACGUGGCCCCUGGGAGCUGCCAGUCCCGGCUCGACCUUCGGGGAGACAGCCCUGGAACGAGCGGGGGUCCUGGUGGAGCAGCCGGGGCUCCCGGUUCCGCCACCGUGAGGCCGGAAGGAGCCUGUCACCUCUGGUGUCCUGUCUCCCUUCAUUUCAGGUUCCAGUGGGAUGGGAGCUUAUCACGGCAAGCACAGCUUCGAAACCUUCUCCCACCUCCGGCCCUGCCUGUUAAAAAGUUUGAAGGGGGAAGGUGCCAACAAGCUCAGGUACCCCCCCAACAGCCAGUCCAAGGUGGACUGGGCCAAGUUCUUCUUCUUGAAGCGGGUCAGCAAAGGGAGACUGGGCCUCCUGUUCCUCGCGCUGCUGGGCGUCGUGCUGGCCGUGCUCCUCAAGGCUGGAUACCGCUGAAGGAGCUGCCUGUGCUGCCGACGCCUUGUCUCUUCCAUUUUUCUAUUAAACAGCUAAUGAACCAAUAAUUUUUAAAUCCUACCAAAAAUAGUAGAAGAUACACAAACGCACCGUGAUGGAACCUGAGAGUCACUGCCACUCACUGUCUUUCCAGCCAGAGCCCCACGCCCCCACCCAGGGCUAAGGGUCCUGGGAGGACCCCAUCCCGCUGGGUCCCGGGCCCUGGAGCCCUGGGCUGGGGAGCAGCGCCCACUCCCCCCCCCGCGAAGCAUCACCCGGAAACCUUCCAGAGCCAGCCCCGCCCUGGUUUCCAGGCCUUCCCAGCCUCCAUUCCAGGUUCGAGGCCCUCGAGCUAGGGUCGGGCUGGGGUCCCCGUCGCUCACCAUUGAGACUUGAAGACCAGACCCGCGGGCAUCUCCCUUUCUCGUCUCUGCUCCGUCCUGUCCUGUGCUUGGGGUGCGACGGUCCCUUGUGGCUGUCCACACUCGGUUUCCGACGUCGCUAGAGCGUCCAGUGCGUCCUAAGGCUUCCUGGAAGACAGCGGCCAACGCGUGCACGCGGCUUUCAUCUGCCCUCCUCAAGUGGAGCUGCUGCAGAAUUUAAACCCUAACGUGCAUUUUAACGCUGUAACAAAAGUGCUUGUAAACUCUGCGAGGACAGCGCGGGCCCCACGGAAGGGGACAGAAGACAGGAAGCGCCGGGGUUCUUUAGCCAAAUGGAAAGUCUCACAAAGAGCCUGGGGCGGGUCCUGGCCACAGGCCCCACUUCCUCCACCCCCAACCCCUACACGCACGCAUGCACGUGCUUGGCAAAAUCCACCACUGAAUCGGCAAAUGUGACUCACUUUACAGGACGUAUAAUUCACUCUGGGGGAUGAGUGUGUUUUGCGUCUCAUUAGGCGUCUGUCUGGAGGAUGUUGCCUCACAGGGCGAGGUGUCAAGAAUUAGUCACGAGGCUGGUUUAGGAACAAGCUGCUGAGACGGGCUCCACCUGUCAGAAGCACAAGGCAUCUCAGACAAAACUCCACCACGGAAUGUUCAUUUGAUACAUUCGAUUGUACAUCACUUUCUAGCUAAACGAUACUGACUUGUCUACUAGUAGAUUCUGCUUCGAAAUAAAUACAUUUAGUGAAACUGCCAUGAA